AUGUAGAAAGGAUGUGACUUGCUGUGAAUCAGGCUUGAUAUUUAUUUUUUUAAAAUUUUAAAAUAUAAUCCCUCUCUGUGUUCCAAAAGUAGCCUUCACAGAAGUAUGGUUCAGAGUCUUAAGGGGAAAAUCAUGAAGGUGCUUGGGCAUGGUUUUGUUGUGACCACAAUAUCUACCCAAGUGCCUUGUGCUGCCUGGUAAAGGAAGCAUUAACAAAUAAUACAUCCUGAGCAUCCUCAGAGGGAUAAGGCUGACCUGACUAAUAUUUGCACAGAAAAACAAGUAGAGAUGCUGCUUAAUUUUCUACCAACACUUUCUUUAGAUCAUUCUGUUGUCUAGAUAGAGCUCAAUAUCUUGAAAAAUUUCCAUAUCCACUGUCAAAAAUUGACUUCAUUUUUUAAUUUAUUGGCAUAAGAAAAGUUUUAUUAAAGUCACAGAGAGAAAAAAGAAAUUUGGACUUUUCAUAUUGUGUAUUGCAUCCUAUAAAGAUGAUUAAUCAGUUGAAUGUAUAACUCAUAUGUCAUUGUCUUCUCUUAAAAGUCUUCAUAUCAGAAAAAAAUUAUAGAAAUACAUCAAAAUAUAACCUUGUUUUAGUUCUUCUUAGUAGAUUAUCCUUCAUUUCUUUUUUUUUGGAGUGAAUGUUUUUGCAUUAGUCUCAAUGCAAGUUUUCUGAAACCUGAAAGCAGCAGUGAUGAGGUUUUUGGAGUUGUUUGUGGUGCAGUUUUCACUGUGCUGCUCAGUUCUGAGUCAGCCAUAUGAGCAUUGAUAUCUCUGAGUAUGUGGGAAUUAUUCUGAAAUUAUUUGGAUUUUUCUUACCUUUUCUUUCAGACUGCAUGCUAAUGUGGGAAUAAACACUAAAACCCAGAUAACUUAUAUUGUUAUUUCUGUUCAUAGGACUGUACUCAGUUUACAUCUGAUGAUGAAUGAUGCAUGAAGAAUAUGGGAUUUUUUCAAGGGUUCCUAAAGCUAAAGGAGCCCAGUUUCUCAAGCUUUGACAUAAAGUCUUUCAGAGCCCUGGAUCCCUGUCAAUGUCAUGCUGAAGCUCAAGUCACUGAAGUGAUCCAUCGUGCUGCUGCAGGAGAGUGGUGCAGAGAUGGGACAGACAAGGAGAUGCAGGAGGCACAGGGGAGGAGAGGGACAGACCCUAGGAAAUGGGCAGCACCUGCAGCAAGUACCAGGGGGACACAGGUUAGUGCAAAGGGCUGCUGUUAGCACUUCCUAUUUCACAGAACCAUAAAUAGUUUAGGUUAGAGAGAAAUCUUAAAGAUCAUCUAGUUCCAACCCCUUAGCCAGGGACAGGUACACCAUGCGCUUCUCUAAUUCAUUUUAUGUUGCUUCUGAAAAAUAGAAACCUAGGUAAAGAGAGAGUGAUAUUGUCCUUGGUGUGGGAAAAAAAAGCCCAGCCCCAUAGCUGAGUCCAGAGGUGUGAGCAGGGGAAUCUGGAAGGUAAAGGGUGAAGCAGAGACAGCACCUCUUGUCUCACUGGGGAAAGCAUUACUUAUCCCACCAAUGAAGCUUCCCUUUCUGUGGGGAGGAUAGAAGAUUUCUUCAGAUUUAAACAUUACUUUCUGAUUAACUAAUUAUGUACAAUUUCAUUAAAUAUGGUCAUCCAAUAAAAGACAGUUUGGAACUGAGACUGUUUUGCUU
ensembl:lncRNA